rnacentral:pre_miRNA from 1 species
CUUGUACUCCAUCCGUCCGAAAAUACUUGUCAUUGAAAUGGAUGUAUCUAGAUGUAUUUUAGUUCUAGACACAUCCAUUUUGAUGACAAGUAAUUCCGGACGGAGGAGUACUUG